UACACAUGCAAGUCGAACGGCAGCACGGGAGCAAUCCUGGUGGCGAGUGGCGAACGGGUGAGUAAUAUAUCGGAACGUACCUUGGAGUGGGGGAUAACGUAGCGAAAGUUACGCUAAUACCGCAUAUUCUGUGCGCAGGAAAGCAGGGGAUCUUAGGACCUUGUGCUCUUUGAGCGGCCGAUAUCAGAUUAGCUAGUUGGUGAGGUAAAGGCUCACCAAGGCGACGAUCUGUAGCGGGUCUGAGAGGAUGAUCCGCCACACUGGAACUGAGACACGGUCCAGACUCCUACGGGAGGCAGCAGUGGGGAAUUUUGGACAAUGGGGGCAACCCUGAUCCAGCCAUGCCGCGUGAGUGAAGAAGGCCUUCGGGUUGUAAAGCUCUUUCGGCCGGGAAGAAAUCGCAUCGGUUAAUACCCGGUGUGGAUGACGGUACCGGAAUAAGAAGCACCGGCUAACUACGUGCCAGCAGCCGCGGUAAUACGUAGGGUGCGAGCGUUAAUCGGAAUUACUGGGCGUAAAGCGUGCGCAGGCGGUUUGUUAAGAUAGGCGUGAAAUCCCCGGGCUCAACCUGGGAACUGCGCUUAUGACUGGCAGGCUAGAGUACGGCAGAGGGGGGUGGAAUUCCACGUGUAGCAGUGAAAUGCGUAGAGAUGUGGAGGAACACCAAUGGCGAAGGCAGCCCCCUGGGUCGAUACUGACGCUCAUGCACGAAAGCGUGGGUAGCAAACAGGAUUAGAUACCCUGGUAGUC
rnacentral:rRNA from 1 species